GGCCCUGUGAUGGACUGGUGACCUGUCCAGGGUGAACCCCGCCUCUCAUCUGGGCUCCACCAGCCCCCUCACCACCCUGCAAGGAUCAACGUGUUCAGAUCAUGAUGGAAAGAUUUUAAGGCAAAGAAGUCACCCAAAAAUGUUUUUUCACUCCAGGCAUCCGGUCCCAAUCAUCAUCAGUUCUGAUGAUGUCACAUAUAUAGAGAGUCCACAACAUCCUAAAAUUGGAAUCCAGGGAAUGGGAAGGUUCUGUCGUAGAUCUUCACUGUUCUUAGGAAGGAGAAAUGUCAGUUUGUCUGCAGUAAUACUGUGAUACUGUGACAUCGUAUUAAAACAAUACUCUGUCCUUGGUGAAAUAUUUUUCACAUUUCCUCUAAAGUUAUCCUAUUGUUUUA